rnacentral:rRNA from 1 species
UUGUUUGGGGCUAUCCAGCCCUAAGUGACGCAGCAAACGCAUUAAGCACUCCGCCUGGGG